CAUGUUACAAUAACGUGCAUUCUUCCAUCGCGAGUAAGAAGAAUACUUUCUUCGAAUCGCGUAUACAUAACUCGUGAAUGUGACAGAUUAAAUAAAGAACAGUCGAGCAGUAUCUGUCUCAAUAAAAUAAAAAACAUUUUGAAAGAAUGUUGAUAGAGAAUAAAAUAUAAAAUAGGAAUGCGAUAGUAAUGUUAAUAGUCAACAGAAAUUUCCCACAAACCGUAACGAUCGUGAUAAAUGAGUCUUUUUAACGAAUGAAUAAAAUAUAAUGUUUAUGUGUAUUUAGUAAUAUUCAUCAAAUUUACACCGACAAUACUGUUAUUUAUUGUACAAGGAUAGUAAGAUAGAAGUGAUAUAAAAAUCGUGUAUUAUCUGAAAGAGUAAACCGAAGCGUUUGUCUAAUGCUAAGUGUCGACUUGAGAGUAAAAUUAUCGCGUGUUGCUCUCGAGAGCGUUUCUUUCAUGUGGACAUUGCAUUUAAAGUUUAGUUACAUGUUGAUAUUUACGACUGAUAGUUGCGAUUUAUCCUCGUAUGGAUACAAAUCAUAUUACUAUCGGACAAUUACUCGCAGCAGUUUCGAAUUCUUGAGAGAACUCUCGUGCGAGCUGUCACUCGAAUCUCUCCUGUUCUCAGGUUGGUUUACGUAGCCCGUGGAUGACAAUCGCCUGCAUAAUGCCAUCUCAGGAUGGGUUUUGAAUCUCAAAUGAACACGAUUCUGAGAGCUGUGUCUGACAGGAAGUUCUCGGUUGAAAGGAUCAUUGAGAAAAAUCACUUACGUUUCCUCCAGCGGUAAAUUUUUAAUUACCGUGUCGCAGGUAUUCUUCAUAUACUUGUUAUAACCAAGGAAGCCAAACAUCGUGCACAAGCAGGUAUUAAGCAACAUGUUGCAUGUUAUCAAUCGUGGCAAAUGUUCCGGAUUCUUCAUCGAGUUCUCCAGUGGUAGGCACAAGGUCACAUUAUGAAGAGCGUACAGGAACAGAUUGCAAUACAUCGGAACUGGCAAAGCUUGCGUAAAAGCUUCUAAUCUUGCAGGAUCGGGCAAAUCUUCGAAGAGAUAGUACAGGGUAACGGAAAUACCAAUUAACAUAAACAGAGCACCGACCACGGAAAAUGGUGUCAGAUACUUCAAGUUCGGAAUGAAACUCAAUAGACAGACGAAGGGAAACAAUGCUAGUAUGUAGAUCCGAUCAUCCAUUUUAACGUCGAAGAAAAAUUCAAUCAGCUGAAAAUGAAUAAUUUUUUUAGUAAUUAAUAAUCUCUUCGGUAAUGAAUAAUUUUGCAAUUGUAUAAAACGUAACUUAUAAUGAAUUUCGCGUGGUUGUAAAACUCGUACGAAUGUAAUCGCAAUGGUAUGAUAAAUAACGCGCACUGGAUGCGUUGUAAGAACAUCUAAACGAAUGGAGAAAGGAUGGUAGGUUGUACUUUUCUGAGGUAUAUACGCGUAUAUACGUUGUACGAAUGUAAGAUAAUAUGAAUGAUCGAUCAGAUAAAAUAUGCAACAUAUGAUGAAUAGGUUCAGAGUAUGUGGUCAUCUUCGAGAGAUGAAUUGUUCGGGUAUAUCAUACGAAUUGCUUAAGCUCUUAAUGUAUAAAUUUUUCUUUUUAUUUAGCAAUGAAAAAUGAAUGGACCUUUUACAUUAAAAGACGACUAACGAAUGAAGAUGCAUAUCUUUCAUAUAUCUUUUCUAAUAUAAAUGGUCUAGGGCAAUGAUGAUUUAGUGCUUGAAUCCAUAAAGAUCAAUGACUAAAGCAUUCAGAAUGUUUUUAUGUCUACGUUAUAUUACAGAUAUGUGCGUUAGGUGAUCAAUUAAUGAGAUUUUUCGGUAUAGAAGAAGAGAUUCUACAUUAAAAUGUUUCAUUACGUAAUGAACUUCUGAUUCGCGAAUAAUUACAAUACAAGAAAUAGGAGGCAUGUUAAUGUUCAUACAACUGGUGAAAAACAAAAGAUCACACUAAAAUAUCACAGUUAUCUUCCACAUAAAAACUCUAUUUGCACAAAAGGACUUAAGGUGUGUGUAAAGCAUUUAUUUUUACAAGCUUGUGCAUAAUGAUAGAGUGAAAACGUCGAAGGUAAAUAUUAAAUUUAAGAUCGCCAAUCAGUUAUCUCAGAACCUAAAUAAAUUAAUGGCGAGUUGAGAAUUAAAUAGCUAAAUAACAAUACCAGAUAUUUAUGCUUUACCUUAUGUUUAAUUUAUGCUUAUGUGUAUCCAAUUGUCAUUAAAUUAUAUAAGCAGAGUUCAAUUUUUUAUAUGAAUUUCAUUUGAAAUUUAAUAACACAGAGUACUGCCAACUGGUGAUACAAGAUGAAAGAAACUAAAUCUACGUGAAAAUCAUGUCGAGAAUGUAAGGCAAUAUUUUUACAGGAAAUUGUAUACAGGGUGGUUGGUAACUGGUGGUACGCGAAAAAAGAAGUCGAAAAUAUAGAAUAAAAAAUUUUUGUUUUAAUUUUUUUUUUAAUUUUUUUAAAAAUCUACAGUGAGAUUCGUUAUAACGAGGCCUGAUAAAGUGCACGCGUACAGAGCAAAAAUUCAAAGUCGAUUUUCUCGAAAACAAAGUCUCAAACGAAAAAUUUUUAUUCUAUAUUUUCGACUUCUUUUUUCGCGUAGAAUCGCCCCCCUUUCCGCUUGUAUCACCAGUUACCAACCACCCUGUAUAUUAUAUUCAUUUAUACAUUACACAUUAGGCAUUAUAAUGAUAACCUAAUUCUAAAGCAAAUUGCCAUACAGAUGAGUCUCUAUAUUUUGAUCUCAAUAGGUCAUUGACUAAAAUUAUUUCAAAGAUUCAUGGUAGGUGUUAUUAACAUUAUAUUUUCGAAGAUAAAAAAUUAUGAUAAAAUCUAAUCGCCUAUUUGCUUAUAAAUAUUACGACACCUGAUGAUCUCAUACAGCACAUGAUAAUUGAUCUAGAUAAUUGAGAAACUAAUUAGUCCAAUAGAACUCCGUACUUGUAUAAGAUAACAGUUUGAGAUACGUAAUAGAAAAUUGCGAAAGCUAUUUAUAAAAAUCCUCAAGAGAAAAAAAAUUUAAUAAUUAUAUGAUAGUGCUUAUACAAUUCUCUAACCUAAACUUCACUGUGAGGAUUUAAGAUAAAUUACAUAUAUAACUCAAACAUUUGAUUUAUGGAAUCGUUUACAGAGUGUGUGAUCAAAUAACGGCAUGUAAAGCAUAGUAGAAUAUCUGAUAUAAACAUAAUCAAAAACUUAAUAACACGAAUGUCAUAAUUGAUUAAAACAAUAAUAGAGUAAGUGACAAAAAUAUCGUUUGAUUCUACCGUGCAAUUCUGUCUGGUAUUAUAUUGAAUAUGUGAGUGCUCUGUAACAGUUUCAAACGAGGUUUAGUAAUUUGCUAAUAGUUUACCAGGUUUGCUUUAUUUUGCGGUAAGUGUCUUAAUACUUGUGAGGAUCAAUCAGACUUAGAAGUGUAUCAAUCAGAAAAGAAGUAACAGUUUUCUAUACUUCUGCAAUUUCAAUUGUACAUUACAAAAAGUAAUAUUUAAUUUUCUCUAAUUUCUCAAUGCCGUAAAUUUUGAAAAGGAGAAUCACAAUUAAAAACUGUGUCAUCGCUACGAACUUUAAUCAUGUAACAUAUUAAACUGUUUGAAUGCUAGGA